UACGUAGGGUGCAAGCGUUGUCCGGAAUUAUUGGGCGUAAAGAGCUCGUAGGCGGUUUGUCGCGUCGACUGUGAAAAUCCGAGGCUUAACCUCGGACCUGCAGUCGAUACGGGCAGACUAGAGUUCGGUAGGGGGAGACUGGAAUUCCCUGGUGUAGCGGUGAAAUGCGCAGAUAUCAGGAGGAACACCGGUGGCGAAGGCGGGUCUCUGGGCCUGUCCUGACGCUCAGGCGCGAAAGCUAGGGGAGCGAACAGG
rnacentral:rRNA from 1 species